UACGUAGGGGGCAAGCGUUGUCCGGAUUUAUUGGGCGUAAAGAGCUCGUAGGCGGUCUGUUGCGUCUGCUGUGAAAACCCGGGGCUUAACCCCUGGCUUGCAGUGGAUACGGACAGACUAGAGGUAGGUAGGGGAGAAUGGAAUUCCCGGUGUAGCGGUGAAAUGCGCAGAUAUCGGGAGGAACACCGGUGGCGAAGGCGGUUCUCUGGGCCUUACCUGACGCUGAGGAGCGAAAGCGUGGGGAGCGAACAGG
rnacentral:rRNA from 1 species